rnacentral:rRNA from 1 species
UAAAUUGCUGUGGUAUUUUGACUAUACGAAGGUAUUGAAAUAAGAUUUUAAAUGGAUGCUAAGAGAAUGGCUGAACAAAGAUUAACUUUCUUAAGAAAAAUUAUUAGAAGUUGGUUUUUAUGUGAAAAAACAUUAAUGUUUUUUUGGGACAAGAAGACCCUAUGAAUUUUUAUUUUACUUAGAAUUUAAAGAUAAAAUUUAAUUGGGGUGAUUUUUAAAGAUUAAUAAUCUUUAAAAAUUUUUAAUUUGAUCCGCUAAUAGCGAUUGUAUAAAAAAAAUACUCUAGGGAUAACAGCGUAAUAAUUUUGGAUAGUUCUUAUUGAUAAAAUUGAUUGCGACCUCGAUGUUGGAUUAAGAUUCUUUUUUAAUGAAGAAGUUAAAAUAAGAAGUUUGCUCAACUUUUAAUAUCUUACUUGAUCUGAGUUCA